rnacentral:rRNA from 1 species
GUGGGGAAUAUUGGACAAUGGACGAAAGUCUGAUCCAGCGACGCCGCGUGGGCGAUGAAGGUCUUCGGAUUGUAAAGCCCUGUCAGGUGGAAAGAAUAUUAUCGGGGAGCAACACCCCCGAUAUAUGACGGUACCGCCAAAGGAAGCACCGGCUAACUCUGUGCCAGCAGCCGCGGUAAUACAGAGGGUGCUAGCGUUGUCCGGAAUUACUGGGCGUAAAGGGCGCGUAGGCUACUGUGCAAGUCAAGUGUGAAAUCCUACGGCUUAACUGUAGAACUGCAUUUGAAACUGCACGGUUAGAGGACGGUAGGGGAAAGUGGAAUUCCCGGUGUAGAGGUGAAAUUCGUAGAUAUCGGGAGGAAUACCUGUGGCGAAGGCGACUUUCUGGACCGUUUCUGACGCUGAGGCGCGAAAGCGUGGGUAGCAAACAGGAUUAGAAACCCCAGUAGUCC